rnacentral:rRNA from 1 species
CUCUAAAGUGACUGCCGGUGCAAGCCGGAGGAAGGUGGGGAUGACGUCAAAUCAUCAUGCCCCUUAUGACCUGGGCUACACACGUGCUACAAUGGAUAGUACAAAGGGUCGCGAAGCCGCGAGGUGGAGCUAAUCCCAUAAAACUAUUCUCAGUUCGGAUUGUAGGCUGCAACUCGCCUACAUGAAGCCGGAAUCGCUAGUAAUCGUGGAUCAGCAUGCCACGGUGAAUACGUUCCCGGGCCUUGUACACACCGCCCGUCACACCACGAGAGUUUGUAACACCCGAAGUCGGUAGGGUAACCUUUAUGGAGCCAGCCGCCGAAGGUGGGACAGAUAAUUGGGGUGAAGUCGUAACAAGGUAGCCGUAUCGGAAGGUGCGGCUGGAUCACCUCCUUU